GUGGCCAGAGAGCGUCUUCCUGGCCGGAGUUUGCGGUUUUAGAUCCUCCCCAGGACCUGCCAAGAGGACCAGCUCUCCCAGUUGCUGCGGGAGGCUUGCAAGCAGCCAGGAUGGUCUCGCCCUGAUUCAGUUCAGAUACUGUACUUUUAAGUUUUGGCAAAAAUUGCCUGCGGUAUUCUCUGCUCGCACAACUAGUUUUGAUCUUUAGUCUACUGAAUUAGUUGUUCGAUGGCACAGCUCCACUAUUAGAGCGACUUCUAGGAUCCCUUAGCUCCAGGUCCAACGCAUCCCUUAAAAUGAUCUUUCCACGAUCCCUCGGUGGAAAAUGAAUCGCCCUUCAAGGAUAUCCUAAGAAAACUUCUGGCAGAGACUUGGCAGUGUAAGUUCAAGCUCUCAUGAUUUUAAGUUGGCUUCCCAUUAAAGGCCAGCAUGCUUAGCAUGUACGUAGGUCUCAUCACCAUCACCAGCACCUCCCAAAGUAGAACUCUGUUUGUCACAAGUGUCCAGAGGAGUGAAGGGAGCACAGGAAGAGACACGAGCCAGCCUCCCAGGUCCACUUGAAGACCACAAGAAGGCACCAGGACCCCAAGAGCUGAGUUUUUGCAUGGUUGUAAGCACCUUUUGUGGAUACUUGGGACCAAAUGCCCAUCUUCUGCAAGAACAUAAGGAUUUCUUUACCACUGAGCCACCUGAAUUACGCUGCACCAAAAGGUUCUGGACCCUAGUGGUUCAGAAAAUACAAAAAUGGGCGUCAAAUAAUAAUAAUGGGUGUCAAUAAUGUUGACACCCUUGAUAAAUGAAAUGUGAUACAGUUUGGGGCCCUGUUAACUAAACAACAAAAUAAAAUGCUUACACCUGAGAUCUACUAGUAUAAUUAGUUA
rnacentral:lncRNA from 1 species